UGUUGUCAUCCCUGAUGCUCAAACCUCACA
rnacentral:piRNA from 1 species